CCAAACCAAGGGAAUGUUUUUCUCACGAUAUUUUCAGUGAGUGACAGAAAGGACUCACAUCAGCCAAAGAGCUGAUUGAAUAUACGAUUAUAAGGAUUGG
rfam:Vibrio sp. qd031 contig_164, whole genome shotgun sequence.